CAUCGGAUAGUUUAUUAAAAUGUCAAUUUUGGAGAUUGAUGAUAAGGUUUUUCUUUCCGUUGA
rnacentral:tRNA from 1 species